ensembl:lncRNA HERC2P9 HERC2 pseudogene 9
CGCUGCAGAGGCAGAUCUUAGCUGUGCAUUUGUUGCAAGCAGUCCUUCCGUCAUGGGACAAGACCGAAAGGGCGAGGGACAUGAAAUGCCUCGUGGAGAAGCUGUUUGACUUCUUGGGGAGCUUGCUCACUAUGUGCUCCUCUGACGUGCCGUUACUCAGAGGCCCAGUUAGAGGACUACUUCCCCGACUCCGAGAACCCUGAAGUGGGGGGCCUCAUGGCGGUCCUGGCUGUGGUUGGAGGCAUCGAUGGUCGCCUGCGCCUGGGUGGCCAAGUUGUGCACGAUGACUUUGGAGAAGUCACCAUGACUCGCAUCACCCUGAAGGGCAAAAUCACCGUGCAGUUCUCUGACAUGCGGACGUGUCGCGUUUGCCCAUUGAAUCAGCUGAAACCACUCCCUGCCGUGGCCUUUAAUGUGAACAACCUGCCCUUCACAGAGCCCAUGCUGUCUGUCUGGGCUCAGUUGGUGAACCUCGCUGGAAGCAAGUUAGAAAAGCACAAAAUAAAGAAAUCGACUAAACAGGCCUUUGCAGGACAAGUGGACCUGGACCUGCUGCGGUGCCAGCAGUUGAAGCUAUACAUCCUGAAAGCAGGUCGGGCGCUGUUCUCCCACCAGGAUAAACUGCGGCAGAUCCUGUCUCAGCCAGCUGUUCAGGAGACUGGAAGUGUUCACACAGAUGAUGGAGCAGUGGUAUCACCUGACCUUGGGGACAUGUCUCCUGAAGGGCCGCAGCCCCCCAUGAUCCUCUUGCAGCAGCUGCUGGCCUCGGCCACCCAGCCGUCUCCUGUGAAGGCCAUAUUUGAUAAACAGGAACUUGAGGCUGCUGCACUGGCCGUUUGCCAGUGCUUGGCUGUGGAGUCCACUCACCCUUCGAGCCCAGGAUUUGAAGACUGCAGCUCCAGUGAGGCCACCACGCCUGUCGCCGUGCAGCACAUCCGCCCUGCCAGAGUGAAGAGGCGCAAGCAGUCGCCCGUUCCCGCUCUGCCGAUCGUGGUGCAGCUCAUGGAGAUGGGAUUUUCCAGAAGGAACAUCGAGUUUGCCCUGAAGUCUCUCACUGGUGCUUCCGGGAAUGCGUCCGGCUUGCCUGGUGUGGAAGCCUUGGUCGGGUGGCUGCUGGACCACUCCGACAUACAGGUCACGGAGCUCUCAGAUGCAGACACGGUGUCCGACGAGUAUUCUGACGAGGAGGUGGUGGAGGACGUGGAUGAUGCCGCCUACUCCAUGUCUACUGGUGCUGUUGUGACGGAGAGCCAGACGUACAAAAACCGAGCUGGUUUCUUGGGUAAUGAUGAUUAUGCUGUAUAUGUGAGAGAGAAUAUUCAGGUGGGAAUGAUGGUUAGAUGCUGCCGAACAUACGAAGAAGUGUGCGAAGGUGAUGUGAUGUUGGCAAAGUCAUCAAGCUGGACAGAGAUGGAUUGCAUGAUCUCAAUGUGCAGUGUGACUGGCAGCAGAAAGGGGGCAUCUACUGGUUUAGGUACAUUCAUGUGGAACUUAUAGGCUAUCCUCCACCAAGAAGUUCUUCUCACAUCAAGAUUGGUGAUAAAGUGCGGGUCAAAGCCUCUGUCACCACACCAAAAUACAAAUGGGGAUCUGUGACUCAUCAGAGUGUGGGGGUUGUGAAAGGUGUGAUGGAUGUCAGAUGUUUCCUAUCAAUGGAUCCAGAUUCAAAUGCAGAAACUGUGAUGACUUUGAUUUUUGUGAAACGUGUUUCAAGACCAAAAAACACAAUACCAGGCAUACAUUUGGCAGAAUAAAUGAACCAGGCUUCAGCAGAAGAAACACUUCCUAUAAAUCUCGCCCAAACAGGAAAGCAAACCUGAAAAUACACUAUCCUCCAGCUAUCAGAAUUAUAUUGAGAUCUACUCACAUUUAUGAUGAUGUUCAGAGAUUCUCAUUGGGAAGGAAAAGGCACACGCUGCGGUGGUCUUGCAUGACUCUGUUGUUGUGGAAAUUCAAUUUGUUCAUUGUGUUUUGGGCUCCCUGGGUGGUCAGGGCUGGGCUCUGGGUCCUUGGCAAUUCCUCAGGUUCCCAGCACUCCAAAGCCAAGCUCACCUCCUCAUCACACGCCCUGCAGGAGAAGCAUUAGGGUGUCCGACUACGUGGGUUUCAUAGCUGUGGAAAAGCCAAAGGGGAGACUCCUGAAGAAAGGCGGUGAAGACUGUGAAGAGCGGGUCAGGAAGAUGAGCACAGCACUGCUACUCCUGUGGGCACAGGGACAGCAUGUCUCCAGCCAGUGCCACCUUGUUUAAUACAUGGGAACUCACUGAAAUUCAUUCUGUAUUUUGCCCGCAAAGUUUUAAAGAUUUCAUCCACAGUCAGGAAUUAAACUUAUACCAAUGAGAGCCUCACACAUUCAAGGAUGUACUAAGCACUACAGGCCUCACAGAAACAGAGAUCCCAUCUUGGAGUUUUCAGUCCCACAUGGGAGAUAAAGGGUUUUGAACAUGAAAUGACAAAAACAACAGCAAGAAGAAAAUUCUCGUCCUUUUUCAUUACUAUCAGACUCAAAUAAAUGUCUUGGCUCUUACAUUACAUUCAUUCUUCAACCAUUGUGGUCUGGCUUCCACUUCCUUCACUUCACCAACAUGGCUCUGCCAAAGGAAGCCCGUGAUCUCUAGGCCAUCACUUUAAUUGAUCUCUCUACAACAUUUAUCCUGGUCGUUAAGCCCUCCUUACAACAUUCUUUUCUCUGUUUUUAUAGCUCCAUCUCUCCUGCUUCUUUAACUUGAUAAUGCAUACUUGAUUUUUCUAUUUGUUAUUUCAUAAACCAAUUAAUAUACAGAUAAAAUGACUGUAUAUCAAACCAUGUUUGUAUAGAAAAAAUGGAUUUUGGAUGCCUCUCAUAUGUAAUUAGUUCUAUUAAACAUAUUAAUUGUAUUGUUUAAUUUGUCAGGUUUUUGACAGAAUUUUGUUUACAAGUAAUAAAAAUUUUAUCUCCAAUUUUCAA